rnacentral:tRNA from 2 species
GGUAAUAUACUUUAAUAAAAAGAUUGGGUUUGCGUCUCAAAAUUGGGAAUUUUUCCCUUUUACCA